UGGCCUAUGGUGUAAUGGUAACAUUACAGAUUCUGGUCCUGUCGUUCCUGGUUCGAGUCCAGGUAGGCCAA
rnacentral:tRNA from 1 species